GGAGAGUUAUGCAAGUCUGGUUUAAGCAAGUCCUCGAGGUGUUUCGUGGGUUCGAAUCCCACACUCUCCA
rnacentral:tRNA from 2 species